GAUAUACUCCCUCCGUCCUGAAAUACUUGUCAAAAAAUGCAUAAAAAUGGAUGCAUCUAGAAUUAAAAUACGUCUAGAUAUAUCCAUUCCGCCGACAAGUAUUUCGGGACGGAGGGAGUACCAU
rfam:Triticum aestivum genome assembly, contig: Triticum_aestivum_CS42_TGACv1_scaffold_130023_2BL